CUGGUCUUGACAUCCGACUGACCGCUCCUUAAUCGGAGCUUUCCUUCGGGACAGGCGAGACAGGUGGUGCAUGGUUGUCGUCAGCUCGUGUCGUGAGAUGUUGGGUUAAGUCCCGCAACGAGCGCAACCCCUAUCUUUAGUAGCCAGCAUUUCGGGUGGGCACUCUAGAGAGACUGCCAGGGAUAACCUGGAGGAAGGCGGGGAUGACGUCAAAUCAUCAUGCCCCUUAUGACCAGGGCUACACACGUGCUACAAUGGCGUAAACAAAGGGAAGCGAACACGUGAGUGCAAGCAAAUCUCAAAAAUAACGUCUCAGUUCGGAUUGUAGUCUGCAACUCGACUACAUGAAGCUGGAAUCGCUAGUAAUCGCGAAUCAGAAUGUCGCGGUGAAUACGUUCCC
rnacentral:rRNA from 1 species